rnacentral:misc_RNA from 1 species
UUGUUGGUCGAAAGACCUUAUCAGAUUCUACCACCUCUGUGAACCGUUUGACCUCCGGGUUAUAAUCAAACAUCAGUGUGUAACGAACGUAAGAGUAUCUUAAUUAAACA